AGCCCCGGAGACGCCAAAGUGCAAAUUUGGAGACGCACCCCAAGAGGUGCCGGGGCUU
rnacentral:tRNA from 1 species